UGCCCGCCAUGGCGGUCGGUCGGCGGCGGGGUGAGGCGGUGCUGAGCGUCGGGCUGGCCCUGCUCCUCGGUGCCCUCCGGGUCCCAGCCACUUGCCCGGGGGUCUCAGUCACCCAGCAGCUUCUGAAGGAGGGGUUUCACAGGGAGCUGGUGGUGAAGGUGGAGCUUGGUGCCAGAGGGGAGGAUGCAGGAGGGUGCACAGUGGCAGCUAGAAUUCAUCUUCCACCAGGAAUCUUCGUGGAUCCCUACGAGCUGGCAUCACUGCAGCAACACAACUUAACAAAGGCAGUGUUAAUUCCUGAUGCCAUCGAUGUGGAAGCUCCUGAGUAUUUAUCCACAGAGCUCCAUGUCCUCCUGUCCCUGGAACCUCACCUGCAGUGCUCUCACUGUUUCCAGGCUGCCUUGCCUGUGCACGGGAGGUACCAGCGCCCAGCAGAAGAGAGUCAGGAAGCCUGGGUUGUUGUGCAGAGCCCAGAAGCACUGCUCUGCUGCUGUGACAGUAAGAUCUGGGGAGAGAGCAGUAACCACAGGCAGGCCAGAGCUUGGAAUCCACUUGUGCAUUUGUUAUCUGGAGAUGGAGCUCUCAGUAGUCAUGUGAAGAUCUCCUGCCCGCUGAGUGCUGGACGCUGAGUGCUGCAGAGGGAGCUCCCUGCUCAGGACAAGCCCCCGGCCCCUGUCGGUGGUACCGAAUAACGCAGAAACCUACCCCUGAGGAAUUGGUUCUGCAGGUCCCAGUGGGACUCAGGCACCACAGUUCCUUAGUGUGUGUCCUGACUCUUCUUGCCACGGUGCUCUGCUCCAGCCUGGUUCUUGCAGCAGUCUGCAGAUAUGGACACCUCUCCCCAGGCCCCUGCUCUGAGUAAAGAACUACUGACUGACUGACUGACUCUCCUCUGUCCAGCAAAACUCCCUGAAUAUUGCAUCAGCCUCCUAAAUGCAAGGCCCUGAACCUGGAUCAGCACAAAGCCAGGCUGAUGGCUUGGCAGAGAAUGGUCUGAGAGCAGCCUUGAGGAGAAGGCUGUGGAGGUGCUGGCUGAUAAAAAGCUCAAUCUGGGCUGGCAGUGUGUGCUGGCAGCCCAGCAACCAGCCCUGUGGUGGGCUGCAUCCCCAGCAGGGUGAGGGAGGGGAUUUUCCCACUCUGCUUUGCUUUGGUGAGAGCCCCCUGCAGUGCUGGGUCCAGUUCUGGGGUCCCUAACAAGAGAUGGACACAGAGCAAUUGGAGCAAGUCCAGAGGAGGCCCUGGAGGUGAUCUGAGGGCUGGAGCAGCUCUGCUGGGAGGACAGGCCAGGAAAGUUGGAGCUGUUCAGAGGAGGAUCUGGGGAGACCUUGGAGCACCUUCCAGUGCCUGAAGGACUCCAGGAAAGCUGGGGAGGGACUUUGGAUGAGGGCACAGAGUGAUAGGACAAGGGGUGAUGGCUUUAAUCUGGAAUUGGAUAGAUUUAGGCUAGACAUCAGGAAGAAAUUCUUUCCUGUGAGGGUGCUGAGCCCCAGAUUGCCCAGGGAAGCUGUGGCUGCCCCAUCCCUGGCAGUGUUCAUGGGCCCUUCAAGGUCUUGAACAACCUGAUGUGGUGGGAGGUGUCCCUGCCCAUCCAGGGGGUUGUAACAAAAUGAUCCUUCAGGUCCCCUCCAACCCAAACCAUUCUAUGAUUUGAUGAAAUGAAUCUUACUCUACUUUUAUUUAUAUCUUGCUUAUGCAUGAGGGUCUCUCCAUGAGCAAUAGUCACCUUGGCCUAGCUCCUAAAACCACCUUGCACACCCCCAGAGAUUGUUCUGGUGCACUGCACAGUCUGGGUUCUGGUUCCCUGCCCCUGGCCCAGAGUCUGCUCUGACUUGUGCUGCCUCUCGUGGGGGUGUUUGUGUUUCUUGAAUUCAAAGCAAUGGACUCAGGGACUGGGCAUCAAGGGAAUGGAAAACAUUUACUAAUCAUUAAAGUUUCUGAAUUUUAAG